rnacentral:rRNA from 1 species
AACGAACGCUGGCGGCAGGCUUAACACAUGCAAGUCGAACGAGAUCUUCGGAGCUAGUGGCAGACGGGUGAGGAACACGUGGGAACAUCCCUUUCAGUUCGGAAUAACGUUGGGAAACUAACGCUAAUACCGGAUACGUCCUUCGGGAGAAAGAUUUAUCGCUGAAAGAUUGGCCCGCGUCUGAUUAGCUAGUUGGUGAGGUAAUGGCUCACCAAGGCUACGAUCAGUAGCUGAUCUGAGAGGAUGAUCAGCCACAUUGGGACUGUUACACGGCCCAAGCUCCUACGGGGGGCGGCAGUGGGGAAUAUUGGACAAUGGGCGCAAGCCUGAUCCCGUCAUCCCGCGUGAGUGAUGACGGACUUCGGGUUGUAAAGCUCUUUUGUCCGGGAAGAUUAUGACUGUACCGGAAGAAUAAGCCCCGGCAAACUUCGUGCCAGCCGCCGCGGUAA